rnacentral:rRNA from 1 species
CGUAGGUGGUUUGUCGCGUCGUCUGUGAAAUCCCGGGGCUUAACCUCGGGCGUGCAGGCGAUACGGGCAUAACUUGAGUGCUGUAGGGGAGACUGGAAUUCCUGGUGUAGCGGUGAAAUGCGCAGAUAUCAGGAGGAACACCAAUGGCGAAGGCAGGUCUCUGGGCAGUAACUGACGCUGAGGAGCGAAAGCAUGGGUAGCGAACAGGAUUAGAUACCCUGGUAGUCCAUGCCGUAAACGGUGGGCGCUACGUGUAGGGGACUUCCACGUCUUCUGUGCCGCAGCUAACGCAUUAAGCGCCCCGCCUGGGGAGUACGCCCGCCAAGGCUAAAACUCAAAGGAAUUGACGGGGGCCCGCCCAAAGCGGCGGAGCCAUGUGGAUUAAUUCGAUGCAACGCGAAGAACCUUACCUGGGCUUGACAUACACCAGAUCGCUGCAGAGAUGUAGCUUCCCUUGUGGCUGGUGUACAGGUGGUGCAUGGUUGUCGUCAGCUCGUGUCGUGAGAUGUUGGGUUAAGUCCCGCAACGAGCGCAACCCUUGUCUUAUGUUUGCCAUCACGUGAUGGUGGGCACUCAUGAGAGACUGCCGGGGGUUAACUCGGAGGAAGGUGGGGAUGACGUCAAAUCAUCAUGCCCCUUAUGUCCAGGGCUUCACACAUGCUACAAUGGUCGGUACAGCGAGUUGCCACACCGUGAGGUGGAGCUAAUCUCUCAAAGCCGGCCUCAGUUCGGAUUGGGGUCUGCAACUCGACCCCAUGAAGUCGGAGUCGCUAG